GACCGUUCCGAUAGCUUAGUGGUUAGAGAGUCCGCCUAAGAUGCUGGAGGUCGCGGGUUCAAACCCCAGCUGAGUCA